CGCUGCGUCGCGCCGCGGCGGCAGCAGCAGCAGCGCCGAGCCCGCGCGCCUCAGGCGGGCGGCGGCGCCUCCUCCCGGCGGGGAGGGACGGCGGCGGCGGCGACGGUCCCGGCGCCCGGGCCUGGCGCAGGGAGGGAGGCGCCGCCACCCCGCGCCCCGGCGGCGCAGCGCAGCGCAGCGCGACCCUCCUCCCGCCGGGGCGAGGGGCCGGGGCCGGCGCCUCCCCCGCGGCGGCCUCCCCCGCGGCGGCCUCCCCCGCCCCCCGCAGGCCGCGCCGCCCCGCUGCCGCCGCCGGGCGCGGGCAGGAGCUCACCUGCGCGCCGCUGCGGCAGAGCCGCCCGCCCCGCCGGGCCCUGCCCGCCGCCGCGGCCUGCGGCAGAGCCGCCGCCCCCCGGCCCGUGUGCGGGGCUGCGGCGGGGCCGCGGCGGGGCCGGGGUUGGUCCUGGAGCCGCUGCGGGGCUGGGGAGGAAGCCGGCGGCGCAGGGAGCGAAGGAAACGGGAACGGCUCGUGAACUUUCUUAAUUUUGUCUUUUUUGGAAAGCAGGAUCCCGUGAUGUCCUCAGACCUAAUUUCUAACCCCCCUGGGCCUUUUACUAUUUGCAGCAUAGUAUCGUGUGAGGUCCUGACAUGGCUCCGUUUUGGAAACUGUGGGGAAAAAAGCAAGAAAAGGUCGUGAAGAGAUUGUGAGUGAAGACCAGAGACAGGCAGAUGUUGAGUGAAGGAAGCUCUUCAUCGGUACAGAUGUGAAUUACAACAGAGUAAUCUUCCAACCUUUCCUGCACAAGUGUAUUUCUUACCGGGGCACAAUCAUGUUUCGUAUGUAAGAUCCGCUUACCUGGAAAUCCGUGGGACAGAAGGCCAGCUAGACUAAAAGGUUUCUAGGUGUGCGUAUUUCAGAGAAGUCAUUUCCUAACCUUUUGUUGGCCGCAGAAGAGCCAUCGCUCAGGGCCGUGUCCAGCUGGGUGCUGGAGAUCUCCAAGGAUGCAGAUGCCACCACCUCGCUGGACAACCUGUUCCAGUGUUCAACCACCAUCACAGUACAAGUGUUUUUUCUUCUGUUUAAGCAGACGUGACUGUGUUUUAAUUUGUGCGCAUUGACUCUUGUGCUGUCCCUGGAUAGCACUGACAGUCUGCCUCAGUCGUGUUUACUGCCUCCCUUCAGGUGUUCAAUUCAAUUGAAUGUAAAAGAUUGCUCUUCCUAAAAUAUUCAAUAAAUCUAAAUCGAUAAAUCUCA